AGUCUCAAUCAAUCUGGACCCCAAGAUCUCUCAAACACUGGACCAUCAUACAGACAGCAUACACCAGCUGAUAGGAGGCCCCCAACACACACACCAUAGAGGACUUCCAGGGCUGUGUUCAUUCAGAGAUGAUGCACCUAACCCUCCAGAGACUGGAGGCCCCAGGGAGUUUAGAGGAAAAAGAAAGAAUGGGUCAGCAAGUUUGUCUCCACAGGCACUUGCCACCAAGCAUGAUGGGCAUGGUCAAUCCCAGGAUUCCACGUGGUAGAAGAAGAAAGCUGACUCCUGCGGGCUCUCCUCACAUGCACCAAGGCAUUCACACAUAAAUCCACCUCAUAUUUCUGGACUACCUACCAGAGAUUCUGCAGCCUUUGCCAUUAAUUUGUUGACCUCACCCAAUUCCUGCUCAUGAUAUGAAAUUGCUGAGAGCUAUGAGGAACAAAGGCAUUGUGCAGACUGGAAAUGCCUGUGGCCAAGAAAAGCAGUGAUUUCUCUGGUGCCAUUCCUCUCAUCAGGUUCUGUCAACUCAACAAGAGCUUCAAGGAUUUUAUUAAACAAAGAAAAAUGCAAUUAAUGAGCCAACAAAAAUGAUCAGCACCAAAAACUGGAUGUACUCUGAAAAUAAGCAAAGGAGUGAAUUUGGUCAACAUGAGUGCAUUGCAUGGUUAUUUUAAAGGAUGUCACCUAUCAACCUUUUAAAUAAAC
ensembl:lincRNA Gm42468 predicted gene 42468